rnacentral:tRNA from 1 species
GCCUGGGUGGCUCAGUCGGUUAAGCGCCCGUCUUCAGCUCGGGUCAUGAUCUCACGGCUCGUGAGUUCGAGCCCCACGUCAGGCU